AAACCUGCAACCUCAUGGUUCCUAGUUUGUUUCGUUUCCACUAUGCCACAAUGGGAACUCCUAAUUUGCCAAUUUUAAAACCUGAGCUCAAUGAUUAUUCAGUAGCCUCCCCAUCUUUGAAAAACCCCUCUCAUGUUAAAAAAGAAAAAGUCCAGUGGAACCAAACUAUCCCACGGACACUCACUUUUCCCUGAGCUUUACCCCCCAUGAGAAGAUAUGUAUGUGUAUCACAGCUUUAGAACUAGCAAGACACUCUGAGUCCUGCUGCUCAGCGACUCAUUUGUGCUGACAUUUCAGGGAUGAGCUUGACUCCUGGAAACUACAAAGGGCAGAUGGCACGUGUUCAGAGAGACUGGGGAGCCGGCCUCAGCAAACAAGGCCUGGAGGGGAAUCAAACAGCAGAAUUAAAUUAGUUGAGAGCUGUCGUUUAGCUGGGUGCCAAGCCGUUUGCCAAGCCCUAUGCUGAGGACAAUGGGAAUGUCUCCUUGAGCACUUGGUCCCCACCUGUGCCAUCAGGUGAAAAGGCACUUCAUAUGGCCCCUCAGCAGCACAGAAGGGGUACACAUACGUGUCUGUGCCUAUGUGCACAUGUGGGUCUCUGAAUUUGUGUGUCUGUGUAUCCAUGUGCCUGUGUGUAUGAGGGUGUGUUUGUGCCUCUGUGUGUCUGUGAAUGUGGGGGUAAAAUGACAGGGGGCAGCCUUGCCCUUUAAGUAAAAGAGGCAGAAACAGUUGCUUCUCAGGGCUCCCACUGGAUGUUACUUCUGGACUCGCCCUGAUUUAAAUGAUGUGUUUCUACCUCCCGAUGUCUCUGCCUUAUGUCUCACAGCAUCCAGUAUUUUUCCUUCUUAGCUCUUAUUGUGAUUUGUCAUUUUUGUUUACUGGGUGAUGUCUGUCACCCCCACUAAUUGGAAGCAUCAGAGGGCAGGAAUAUUUGUCUCCAGUGCUCAGCACAGUGCCUGGCACAGAGUAAAUGCUGACAAAUAAUAAAUGAACCAAGGGCAGAGGGGCGAGCUAAAGUACAGGGUCAAGGCCCUCUCACUGGGAGUCAUGAUCGAGAAAUUGCAGGUUCUUGGGAAGUAGGGUUGAGCUUCUGCAUAACUGAAGUGAAGUGUGGGAGGCUUCCAUAAAGGGGUUUUGUUGCAUGGCCAUCCUUAGCAAAAUCUCCUGGGCUGAAGACUUGUGACAUGCUGGUCAGGCAGUGCCAUCGACAAGAACGGAAGGGACAGCUUCCCUGAGACAAUAUUUAUGAAUGAGCCCCAGAACCAGGGAAGGGCUGCCAAGACAUUCCCAUUGUCUUGUCCCGUUCCCACUAACACAUGAAGCAGUUUGCAGAGGAAUGAUAGCAACAUGGGCCAACAUACCAGCGCCCCAUUCUUCUGGGGCAGGGCCCACAGACACCACCCACAUCGCCAGGCUUGAGAGAAGAGGGCACCGGAUGUGCCUGCUGUUGAGACGUAGUGUACUGGUCAGAGGAGCGGUCUUGACAUUGUUUCAUUGUUGAUUCUCCAGCACAAACCAAGAACCAAGAACCGUAUCAGAGCCCCGGGUUUAAUUCUAUCUUUGUGGCUGGCUAGGCAAGACGCACCUGCGCACUGACUGGGCCUGCAGCUCAUUGGCUGCUGAAGCGCGUGGGGCGUGUGCUGCCGUGGGAGGGGGAACUUCCGGUGUGAACUUAUGGGGCACAGUCUGGGCGGUCUGGCGCUUCUCCGGCCUUCAGGGAAGAGGCGAUAUCUGAGCAGGACUUACAGCUUGAGGAGGGACCGCAGAGAGAAGAGCGUGUGCCCAGGUUCCUGGGGCAGGACGCAGAAGCUCUGUCAUUCUUUUAAAGGCUGUGCCCUGCACCCUUCCCUCCAAUUUUAGGCGUACAGCUGGAAGGUGAGAAUGAGGAACAUCCUAAACACUUGUUCUGGGAACUGGACAAGCCAGGAUAUUGAGCACCUGAAAACUGGGCUUCUGUUAUUGCUUUGCCGUUUGCUUAGAUCCAAAAGUUAAAUCACAUUUUUCUUACCUGUGGCUAAUCCCUUAUUCCAUAAGUGUAUAUUAAACAUUAUGAGGCUGGGGCCUGUGCUGGCGCUAUAGAGAUGAGGAAAACAUGGGCACAGUCCUGGCCCUCGCGCAUCUCAGUUGGUGGGAGAUGCAGAAGAACAAGUGGCCACUAUAAUACAGUCUGGAAAGUGCAGUGAUGGUGAUCCAUAUCUGGGGGCACAGAGGGGGGAAUCCCUGAGCCGGGUGGAUAGGAUGAGGAGGAAUUGGCCCCUUCAAUUUCAGGAGGGGUGGGCUGGAGCCAUAGGUCCCUCGAAGGAGGAUUCAGGGCAGAGAAGGGAGAGGGAGGCAGGAGUCUCGUCUUAGAGGACACCUUUGCUUUAAUGAACGUUAUCUCACAGGUGAUGGAAAUCCAUUGCACUGUGGAUUGAUGGUGCCAGGAGAUGGGAGGGAUGGCUUGAGGGGAACAAACUGGGAGCAGAGACUAGUUAAGGAGCUGCUGCAGUAGUCUGGCGGGAGAUGAUGGAAGCCUGAGGGGCAGUGGAGAGACAAUGGAGAUGAAGACACAGGUUUGAGAAUCAAUUUGGAAGCCUGAAUUGGCAGUGAGUGGUGUGGAAUGAAAGACCAUGAUGAUUCAAGGACUUGCAGGUUUCUGGCCUUGAUGACUGGAUGGUAGAUGUAGCACCCACUAGACAGAAGAUCCAGGGGCAAUAGUGUCUUGUCAUGCUGAACUUGAGGUGCACAUGUGGCAUCAAGAAUGGCAGGGGUGUGAGGUUUUAAGAAGCCUGGGCUGAAGGCAGGGAUUUAGGGGCCAUUAGCAUGUAGGUGUUUACUGAAUUGAGUGUGAUGGUAUUGACAAAUACUGAACACACCACACAGACCUGCAGAAGUCAUCCCUGUGUUAGCCCAGCCCUGCUAUUUGUACUUCAAAUGUCUAUAGAGAGUGUAUAUACUACUUCCUCAUGCUUAUCUGACCACAUUGUAUCAUAUCUAAACCCUUUCCUUUCUUAAUCUGAACCCUACCCUGUCCCUGCAUAUACAUUAUAAGUCAGUACUCUGCUAUUGUGGCUUUUUCUUUUUCUAUUGCUGUGUAACAAAUAACCACAAUAUCUUAGUGUUUACCAUCAACCAUUUAUUUAAUUUACACAUCUGUGGGUUGUCCGGGCCCAGUGAGACUGGCUGGACUAGGCUGGUUCAUCUGGGUGGGCUCUGCUCCACUUGUCUUUUGUUCUCCUUCUAGGGCUAAUUUAGACAUGUUCUUCUCACAGCAAUGUCAGAAUACAAAAAGGAGAGCCUCUUAGAAAAGAGGAACUGACGCCACCAUCACUUCCACCUUUGCUGAUCAAAUCACAUGGCCCAACCCAAAGUCAAGGGACAGGGAAAUAGAAUCCAUUGCUUUAGUAGGAGAACUGCAGUCACAUGUCAAGAGGCAUGGGUAAGGAAAGGGUGAAGAAUUUGGGCAAAUUCUUCAAUUAGGGCUGAAAAAUCCGCAAUGGAUCUGAGCCACAACACAAGCUUCAAGUGACGAGCUGGUAUUUUUCCUUGUUCCCUUUGGGUUCCACCACCUGCCUGCCCUGCAUUGUUGAUGCUCCUCAGAGAUCAUGAAGCCUUUGUAAAUCUCAUGAUUUACAAAGUGCCUGGCAGAAUGGAAGUGGAAACUGAAGGAGAGAAGGAUGAAGCCCCUCCAGAACCAGAUCAGGAUGAUUACCAGAGCACUGAUGGGCAUUCCAAACUCGAGGUUGAUGAAGUAAUGAUGACAGGUGGUUUUUGUUGGCCUUCUGUGUUCUAAGUCAUUUAUAUAUAGCCUUUUAUUAUCGAUGGCAUCACCACAAACCUGCAAGGUAUUGUCACCACUUUCAAAGAGGAAAUUGGCUCUAAAAGAUCAAGAAACAUGCCAAUAUUAUAGUGAAUUUUUUAUUUAAAAAUGUUUUUAAAUGGAAAAAGUUUCAAACUCAUUUGAUCAUAAGCUCAAUAUCUAUUCUGUUCAAUAACUUAAGUGAGGUUUAAGAAUUCUCUUAGUGCCUGUAAUACAGACAAAUUCAUGUAAUUAUGUGGGGGCAUUUCUCCAAGAGAUAUAGUUAAAUGGAAACUAAACUAUCUUUGGGUUUUAAAAUGGUGGGGGGCAAGAGUAGGUAGGAAGAAAAUAAAUAUCUGUGCAUGCAUUUGCUUAUCUAUGCAUGAGGAAGCUCUAAAACAAUACCCAAGAAAUGAAGGACAGUGCUUACUUAUGAGAAAUUGGAAUAGGGACAAGGAUGGGAGGGAGAAUUUCACGGCAAAUCUAUUGAUACUGAUUUUUUGAAUAAUGUGAAUGUUAAAGCUAUUCAUAAAACUAAAGAGAAGUAAAUAAAUAUUGGUCCAGGCUAGGGUGGAAAUGGGACAGAAAGAUGAGAUAAGGCUUUGAGAAGUUUUAAUUACAGAGCUCCAUAUAUAAGGGCCACAGAUUAGAAGGGCGUUUAGAAGUCCAAAUGGCCCUCCAUCCACUAUUAGAAUAUUAUUUGAAAAACAGAAUGUACAACAUAGACAGCCCCAUCUAGAACAGUGCCAGGGGUUCAGUGACCUAGAGCUUUUAAUGGAGAAUCAGUGUCGUCCCUCUGUACUAGAUGUCGACCAAUCCUGGCUGUCUUUCCCCAAAUUGUACAACCAUUUAGUUUGCGUCCUUGAAUCCCUUUGUAUCAUACUGUGGCAAGUUCUCAGUUCUCUUUCUUCCUCCUACAGAAUUCUUCUUGCCAAUGUUCCUGUGUGAGUUUUCUUUUUGUUUCAUGUUAUUGAA